rnacentral:rRNA from 1 species
UACGUAGGGCGCAAGCGUUGUCCGGAAUUAUUGGGCGUAAAGAGCUCGUAGGCGGCUUGUCACGUCGAUUGUGAAAGCCCGGGGCUUAACUCCGGGUCUGCAGUCGAUACUGGCUAGCUAGAGUGUGGUAGGGGAGAUCGGAAUUCCUGGUGUAGCGGUGAAAUGCGCAGAUAUCAGGAGGAACACCGGUGGCGAAGGCGGAUCUCUGGGCCAUUACUGACGCUGAGGAGCGAAAGCGUGGGGAGCGAACAGG